AGCUCCAAUAGCGUAUAUUAAAGUUGUUGCAGUUAAAAAGCUCGUAGUUGGAUUUAUUGGCGCGCUUUUGGCGGUCUGCUUCGAAUGAAGUUCGACUAACCGAGCAGCCAUUUCGUCUAUUGAUGUCGUCUGGUCUUCAUUGAUUCGGGCGUCUUAGAUAGGCCGUUUACUGUGAGAAAAUUAGAGUGUUCAAGGCAAGCGUUUUUGCGAUUGAAUAUUACAGCAUGGAAUAAUAAGAUACGACUUUCAGUCUAUUUUGUUGGUUUCUAGAGUGGAAGUAAUGAUUGAUAGGGAUAGUUGGGGGUGCUAGUAUUCAUCGGCCAGAGGUGAAAUUCAUGGAUUCGUUGAAGACUAACUUAUGCGAAAGCAUUCACCAAGGAUGUCCCCUUUA
rnacentral:rRNA from 2 species